GCCUCUAUAGCUCAGUGGCAGAGCGUCUGUCUUGCAAACAGAAGGCCAUUCAUGUUUCAUUCCUACAUGGAGGCA
rnacentral:tRNA from 1 species